GCUUAUCGGCAGACGUCAGGAGACGGGUAGCCCGAGCAGCCACAUCCGUGUCUUCGCGUUCGGCCCCGUGACGCGCUGCCGGUGUGGAUCUCGGUCGCGAGCUCCCCCGGAAGUAAGGCAAGCGGCUGACGGCGGACAGGAUUUCAACGUUCCCCCGGAAACAUGUUUACAACUGAGGUUCGACGGUGACGCGAGGGCCGCAUGUUCCUUCAUCGGAGGGUGCGACGACUGCGCGACCCUCCCCGUGGAUGAAGGAGCUGCUGCUAGUCUGACCCCCCCCCUGUCUGCCUCACCAUGCCGCUGGUGUUGGACGCCGUGUGGGCGCUGUGGAGCAUUGGAGCCGGCAUCUACGACUACUUCCACACCAGCGCCAUGGAGGAGAGGAUCCACGAGCUGGAGAACGUCCUCUCCAUCCACCAGUUUGUGAUGGCGGGCCUGGCGGCGGGCCUCCUGCUGCUCGUCACCUACAUACUGUGGAGAAAACACUGAAGCGCAGAUUGUGUGGGCGCUCACACGUUCAGGACGUCCCGCGUGAGGUCGGACACCCGAUGGGACUCGAGGACUCUGAGACUAGUCCGCUCCUCUUUUGGGUUUGUCUCUGUGAUUUUGGAUGUAAAACUAAUACUUCUCAAGGGCACUUUGCACUUUGACCCCUCAAAAAAUGAUGCCAUUUUUUAAAUGUGUGCUGAUAGGCGGAGACACAUAGAAUUUUAACCUUUUGGAUUUGUUACAGAAGUUGUUUUUUUAACUCCGUUAUCCCGACAUCACAACGCAAUGACCUCGAGAUCAGUGGUGUUCUCAUGUUUCACACAUCGGGCUGCUCAGUAGUGCUCAUUAAUUUAUCUCAAUGUGGAAGUGACGGGCAUCAGGUCAUGUGACUUUCUUGCUGAGCCUCUUUCAUCAGGAGACUGUUAACUUUUAAAACUUUAGCUCUGUAAAGUUGGCUUGAAAACAAAACACAAAUGGGUUCUGCAGACGGCCUCAUGAUUUAAUCCAAAUAUUGCUUUCCAUAACUAUUCACUUUCUGGGGUUAAGCACUACCGUGGAUUCCGUUAACAGGAAUAUGUUUAAAUAAUAAAUCAUUACUGGCGUUCAA